GACCUUGUCUUACUACCUAAUAUAAAAAAGCUUAUAAAAAAAUCAUAUCACAGUAAUUAAAUUGUGAACUUUCAUCAAAUCCUGAACCAUAAAAUCACUGUUUCUAUACAUUUUUAUGUAAAGUUCUAACUGCAUUUUACUUAUGAAUGCUUGUGUGUGCACUUUUAUAAAUAUGAAAAAUAUGUUUGCUGUAUCCUGUUCUUUACGUCAAGCUCAUUUGGUCAUUUCUAACCCUUUUACUGGACUUUUUUUCUACAUUUUCUUUUGCUUUGCAUCUCAGCUUUUAAAGUAUACUUUAGAUAAAAUGAUUGGCCUCGGAUCAGAUGGAGCAUCAAAUAUGGUUGGAAGCAAGGGAGGACUGGCAACACUCUUGAAGCAAGAUAUCGGGGAGCAUUUUGUAAAUGUUCAUUGUUUCAGCCACCGCCUUGAGUUGGCAUUUAGAGAUGCUGUGAAGAAAAACAAGCUUUAUGAGAAGUUAAUGACACUUCUUAUUGGGGUUUACUACUUCUACACAAAGCAAUAUAAAAACAAAAAAGGACUUAUGAGUGCAUUUGAGGUUAUUAAAGUUAAGCCCCAUAUGCCACCCAAAGUUACAGGUACCCGCUGGCUUCCUCAUAUGAAACAAGGCAUAGCUGUUCUACUCCGAAACUUCAAUGCAUACAACACCCAUAUGAGUGAUGCUAGCCACACAAAUGCCAAGGCUGAAGGGCUAGUGAAGAUUAUGCUAGACAAGCAUGUCCUAACUUUUGCCCUUUUUAUGCAGAAACUUCUUGAGCCCCUGUGUAAUUUGCAAGAAAAGCUGCAACGCCAAGAUAUAACCUUAGCAGAUGCCAUGGCUUGGAUAGAAACAACAAUGGAGCUAGUUAUGAGUUUGGAAACAAGCAUUUGGAAAUGAAGAAGUCACAAUGGCUGCCCAGCAUUAUGCGACAUUCCUUAAGACUUCUGAUGGGGAAUUUUCUGCAGAUACUGUCAGCCUACAGUGGAUAUCUUUCAAGAAGAUAAUGAAGAAAAGACAUGGAGACUCUUUGACAUCAAUGACAUUGGCAGACCUCCAUGCAAAUGAAGAGGAGUUUUGUCAGCUCUAUAAGCUUAUUGACAUACUCUUCAGCCUUCCACCAACCAGUGUGCCUUGUGAGACAACAUUAAUUCUCACAG